rnacentral:rRNA from 1 species
AUCGAACGCUGGCGGCAGGCUUAACACAUGCAAGUCGAACGGAAGAGGCGAGCUUGUUCCUGGUUCCAGCGGCGGACGGGGGAGUAAUACCUGGGAAUCAGCUGGCUAGGGGUGUGGGAUGACUUGAGACGGGUGGUACUAAUGCCGGCGAGGUGCGGCUGCUGGAUGGGGAGGGUCGGAAAGUAUGGGCGGAUGGGGAUGGAGGCGCGGCUUAUCAGCUUGUGGGUGGGGUAGUGGCUUAGCAAGGCUUUGACGGGUGGCCGGCCUGAGAGGGUGACCGGCCACAUGGGGACUGAGAUACGGCCCAGACUCCUACGGGAGGCAGCAGUGGGGAAUAUUGCACAAUGGGCGGAAGCCUGAUGCAGCAACGCCGCGUGCGGGAUGACGGCCUUCGGGUUGUAAACCGCUUUCGCCUGUGACGAAGCGUGAGUGACGUUAAUGGGUAAAGAAGCACCGGCUAACUACGUG